UACGAAGGGGGCUAGCGUUGCUCGGAAUCACUGGGCGUAAAGCGCACGUAGGCGGGUCUUUAAGUCAGGGGUGAAAUCCCGGAGCUCAACUCCGGAACUGCCUUUGAUACUGGAGAUCUUGAGUCCGGGAGAGGUGUGUGGAACUCCGAGUGUAGAGGUGAAAUUCGUAGAUAUUCGGAAGAACACCAGUGGCGAAGGCGGCUCACUGGCCCGGUACUGACGCUGAGGUGCGAAAGCGUGGGGAGCAAACAGG
rnacentral:rRNA from 1 species